CGUAGUCAUAUGCUUGUCUCAAAGACUAAGCCAUGCAUGUCUAAGUAUAAACACCUUUAUACUGCGAAACUGCGAACGGCUCAUUAUAUCAGUUAUAAUCUACUUGAUCGUAUCCUCUUACUUGGAUAACCGUAGUAAUUCUAGAGCUAAUACAUGCAAAAGUUCCCGACUGGUGACGGAAGGGAAGUAUUUAUUAGGUCCAAAAUCAAUGCUGGCCAUUCCAAACUGGGGCAACCUGGGGUCAGGAAAAGUUGAUGAUUCAUAAUAACUAAACGAAGCGCAGGGCUUGUCUCGGCGCUGAUACAAACGAGUUUCUGCCCUAUCAACUUUCGAUGGUAGUAUAGGGGACUACCAUGGUCGUAACGGGUAACGGGGAAUA
rnacentral:rRNA from 1 species